UGCCAGCAGCCGCGGUAAUACGGAGGGGGUUAGCGUUGUUCGGAAUUACUGGGCGUAAAGCGCACGUAGGCGGAUCAGAAAGUUGGGGGUGAAAUCCCAGGGCUCAACCCUGGAACUGCCUCCAAAACUCCUGGUCUAGAGUUCGAGAGAGGUGAGUGGAAUUCCGAGUGUAGAGGUGAAAUUCGUAGAUAUUGAGAGGAACACCAGUAGCGAAGGCGAGUCUCUGGACGACACCUGACGCUGAGGCACGAAAGCUAGGGUAGCAAACAGGAUUAGAUA
rnacentral:rRNA from 1 species